UACGAAGGGGGGCUAGCGUUGCUCGGAAUCACUGGGCGUAAAGGGUGCGUAGGCGGCUUUCUAAGUUGGAUGUGAAAACUCUGGGCUCAACCCAGAGACUGCAUCCAAAACUGGAGAGCUUGGGUUCUGGAGGGGGAAAGCGGAAUUCCUGGUGUAGCGGUGGAAAUGACGCAGAUAUCAGGAAGAACACCCCGUGGCGAAAGCGGCUCUCUGGAACGGUACUGACGCUGAGACGCGAAAGCGUGGGGAGCGAACAGG
rnacentral:rRNA from 1 species